ensembl:lncRNA
UCUCUAUCUGAAGAUCACUCCUCUUGGAGUGCUUCUGCAAGCCUGGGAUACAGUGUAAAGGAAGAUGACUAUUUGUGGAAUGCAGCCACUAGUUGAAUGCUGUCCACUGGAGUGAAGGAGAGUCUCCUAGCUAACAAUUGUCAGCAGGCUACAAUUUACUCUCAGUCCAAGCCUUUUCCAUUUCUUUGAUUGUGACAAAACUGUAAUUCCUGUCUCUGAUAAAAUCUUUAUUGUUAUAUUCCAUGGAUGCUCUCACCUUACUCAUUGGAUUGGAUUUGUCCAGUUUUUGACAAUGAAAUAUCCCAGAAAUUCCCAGUUUCUUCUACAGCUGCUUUCUUCUAACUGUUUAAGGAGGAAUAGUAAAAGUCUGUUCCCAGCUGCAGUGAAAUGUAAAUAAUAAAUUUCCAGAGCAUGGAAUGAGUAAUACAAUCUAUUGAAGAAACCUGGAAAUAAAACCAAGGGAGAGGUUUCUCCUUCUACUUUCUGUUGUGGCUCUGUCCAUUUCUGAUUUCCAAUUAUCCCUGAAGUAUGAAUCUAAUCCAUACAGAGACUGUGAUGAUGAAUUAAAAUAGUUUGAUUUUUUUUAACUAAUACAAAAGUUAAAAUACAGUAUUCAAAAUCACAGAAGUUUAAAUGUUUUUGUUAGAACUGCUAGCAAAUAUUUCCUACAGUCUUCCAAUUGCAACUGGAACUUAAGGGCACACUGCAGUCUUGAAUUCUUCUUUUAAAGUAAAUUCCCUCAAAUAAUCUUGAUACUAAAACCAUAUAUUUGAUUUAAUUCCAAAUUUAUUACCAAAAUGUAGAAACAUCCAAAUGAGAAAUAUAAGAUAGAGAAAAAUUAGAAAAUAUUUUAAUUUUUAAAAUUUCUAUUUUUAAAUAUAUAAUCCUUACCUUUUUAGUGUUUGAUCAAGAUUAUGUUGUACAUUAUAAUAUGUAAAAGCUAAAAGGUUCUUAGAAAACGAAGAUAAAAGAAACAUUUACUGUGCUUGUCUGCAGGUUAAAGCAUCUUAUUCCCAUUUUCACAUGGAUAUACUCAGUCUGUAUUUUAUUACUAGGUUAUAUUCAAAGUGGUUUAAUUAGUGUAUCUCUGCUCUUUUUUACAGGCUCUACCUUAUUUUCUUCUUUGUAGGUCAUUACUGUUUUACACACCUAUUAAUUUAAGAUUUCAAAAUAUAAUUUUGUUCAUGUUCAAAACUUCACAUUGUAUAAGAUUACAAUACUGUUUUGACUUUGACAGUUCCUUAAAUCAAAUUGCAUGGAAAAAAUGCCUCUUCAAUAUUUCUAGGAUAUGAUGUGGAUUCAAAAAAUUAUAGUCCUCUAUAGUCUUUUACAGGACUUUUUAUUGAAAAAUUAUUUCCUUACUACAAGGGUGUAUAUUAACUACCAGUCCUCCCUGUGCCAGUAAACUUUUAAGUAUUUAUUU